rnacentral:lncRNA from 1 species
CCGGGAACCAUAUCUGUGGGUACCUCUGAGAACUUGUUCUGGGAGAGCUAACUUUUGUUUUCAUGUCCACAAAGACAGGCUUAGCCACUUUUUUUUUUUGAAGUUACCAUAUGACCUUCAAGGGCACUUGCUGUUAAUUUGAAUUUCAUUCAUUUGUGGAGUAAAGACAAAUGUGCAAAGUAGACCCCAGGGAAUGCUUGUUGGAUUACAGGCUUGCUAUCUGAGUUAUGCACGACCGUUACUCCUCUUACUGCUGUGGAUUUAGGGUAAGGCCAGUGGGGAUUAUGAAUCGUUGCCUAUCUGUGUAACGCCUCACCUACCCAUGCGUCUUCCCCCAGGUGCCAUUGCAGGGAAAGCAGGUGGCCACCGACAGACUGGAAGGACAUAGACUAAAGUUUUAACUUGGUUAUCUUGGACUAGUGGGGUUACAGAGAUAAAAUUUUCUGAAAUUAAAAAUAAUAGACUGGAUAGUCUGUGAACUACAAACUUACCAUGGUCCUCUCGGGGUUCUUCUGUAGUGGAAGCUUGUAAUUUCCAACUUAAUUACUGCUUCUGCAUGGAUUUGUGCUGUACUGCAUUGCAGAGCGUGCCGGCUUAAACAGG